rnacentral:rRNA from 1 species
AGACGUCUACAUUAGAUACCCGGGUAGUCCCAGCCGUAAACUAUGCGCGUUAGGUGUAUCGGUGACCACGAGUUACCGAGGUGCCGAAGGGAAACCGUGAAACGUGCCGCCUGGGAAGUACGGUCGCAAGGCUGAAACUUAAAGGAAUUGGCGGGGAGCACCACAACGGGUGGAGCCUGCGGUUUAAUUGGACUCAACGCCGGGAAGCUCACCGGAUAAGACAGCGGAAUGAUUGCCGGGCUGAAGACUCUGCAUGACUAGCUG